UCGAGCGACUGAUUAGAAGCUUGCUUCUAUGACGUUAGCGGCGGACGGGUGAGUAACACGUGGGCAACCUGCCUGUAAGACUGGGAUAACUUCGGGAAACCGAAGCUAAUACCGGAUAGGAUCUUCUCCUUCAUGGGAGAUGAUUGAAAGAUGGUUUCGGCUAUCACUUACAGAUGGGCCCGCGGUGCAUUAGCUAGUUGGUGAGGUAACGGCUCACCAAGGCAACGAUGCAUAGCCGACCUGAGAGGGUGAUCGGCCACACUGGGACUGAGACACGGCCCAGACUCCUACGGGAGGCAGCAGUAGGGAAUCUUCCGCAAUGGACGAAAGUCUGACGGAGCAACGCCGCGUGAGUGAUGAAGGCUUUCGGGUCGUAAAACUCUGUUGUUAGGGAAGAACAAGUACGAGAGUAACUGCUCGUACCUUGACGGUACCUAACCAGAAAGCCACGGCUAACUACGUGCCAGCAGCCGCGGUAAUACGUAGGUGGCAAGCGUUAUCCGGAAUUAUUGGGCGUAAAGCGCGCGCAGGCGGUUUCUUAAGUCUGAUGUGAAAGCCCACGGCUCAACCGUGGAGGGUCAUUGGAAACUGGGGAACUUGAGUGCAGAAGAGAAAAGCGGAAUUCCACGUGUAGCGGUGAAAUGCGUAGAGAUGUGGAGGAACACCAGUGGCGAAGGCGGCUUUUUGGUCUGU
rnacentral:rRNA from 1 species